rnacentral:rRNA from 1 species
GGUCAAGUGAAGAAGCGCAUACGGUGGAUGCCUUGGCAGUCAGAGGCGAUGAAAGACGUGGUAGCCUGCGAAAAGCUUCGGGGAGUCGGCAAACAGACUUUGAUCCGGAGAUGUCUGAAUGGGGGAACCCAGCCAUCAUAAGAUGGUUACCUUACACUGAAUACAUAGGUGUAUGGAGCGAACCAGGGGAACUGAAACAUCUAAGUACCCUGAGGAAAAGAAAUCAACCGAGAUUCCCUUAGUAGUGGCGAGCGAACGGGGACUAGCCCUUAAGUGGCUUUGAGAUUAGCGGAACGCUCUGGAAAGUGCGGCCAUAGUGGGUGAUAGCCCUGUACGCGAAAAUCUCUUAGUCAUGAAAUCGAGUAGGACGGAGCACGAGAAACUUUGUCUGAAUAUGGGGGGACCAUCCUCCAAGGCUAAAUACUACUGACUGACCGAUAGUGAACUAGUACCGUGAGGGAAAGGCGAAAAGAACCCCGGAGAGGGGAGUGAAAUAGAUCCUGAAACCGUAUGCGUACAAGCAGUGGGAGCCCACUUUGUUGGGUGACUGCGUACCUUUUGUAUAAUGGGUCAGCGACUUAUUUUCAGUGGCGAGCUUAACCGAAUAGGGGAGGCGUAGCGAAAGCGAGUCUUAAUAGGGCGUCUAGUCGCUGGGAAUAGACCCGAAACCGGGCGAUCUAUCCAUGGGCAGGUUGAAGGUUGGGUAACACUAACUGGAGGACCGAACCGACUACCGUUGAAAAGUUAGCGGAUGACCUGUGGAUCGGAGUGAAAGGCUAAUCAAGCUCGGAGAUAGCUGGUUCUCCUCGAAAGCUAUUUAGGUAGCGCCUCAUGUAUCACUGUAGGGGGUAGAGCACUGUUUCGGCUAGGGGGUCAUCCCGACUUACCAAACCGAUGCAAACUCCGAAUACCUACAAGUGCCGAGCAUGGGAGACACACGGCGGGUGCUAACGUCCGUCGUGAAAAGGGAAACAACCCAGACCGUCAGCUAAGGUCCCAAAGUUAUGGUUAAGUGGGAAACGAUGUGGGAAGGCUUAGACAGCUAGGAGGUUGGCUUAGAAGCAGCCACCCUUUAAAGAAAGCGUAAUAGCUCACUAGUCGAGUCGGCCUGCGCGGAAGAUGUAACGGGGCUCAAACCAUACACCGAAGCUACGGGUAUCACGUAAGUGAUGCGGUAGAGGAGCGUUCUGUAAGCCUGUGAAGGUGAGUUGAGAAGCUUGCUGGAGGUAUCAGAAGUGCGAAUGCUGACAUGAGUAACGACAAUGGGUGUGAAAAACACCCACGCCGAAAGACCAAGGUUUCCUGCGCAACGUUAAUCGACGCAGGGUUAGUCGGUCCCUAAGGCGAGGCUGAAAAGCGUAGUCGAUGGAAAACAGGUUAAUAUUCCUGUACUUCUGGUUAUUGCGAUGGAGGGACGGAGAAGGCUAGGCCAGCUUGGCGUUGGUUGUCCAAGUUUAAGGUGGUAGGCUGAGAUCUUAGGUAAAUCCGGGAUCUUAAGGCCGAGAGCUGAUGACGAGUCGUCUUUUAGACGACGAAGUGGUUGAUGCCAUGCUUCCAAGAAAAGCUUCUAAGCUUCAGGUAACCAGGAACCGUACCCCAAACCGACACAGGUGGUUGGGUAGAGAAUACCAAGGCGCUUGAGAGAACUCGGGUGAAGGAACUAGGCAAAAUGGCACCGUAACUUCGGGAGAAGGUGCGCCGGUGAGGGUGAAGGACUUGCUCCGUAAGCUCAUGCCGGUCGAAGAUACCAGGCCGCUGCGACUGUUUAUUAAAAACACAGCACUCUGCAAACACGAAAGUGGACGUAUAGGGUGUGACGCCUGCCCGGUGCCGGAAGGUUAAUUGAUGGGGUUAGCUAACGCGAAGCUCUUGAUCGAAGCCCCGGUAAACGGCGGCCGUAACUAUAACGGUCCUAAGGUAGCGAAAUUCCUUGUCGGGUAAGUUCCGACCUGCACGAAUGGCGUAACGAUGGCGGCGCUGUCUCCACCCGAGACUCAGUGAAAUUGAAAUCGCUGUGAAGAUGCAGUGUAUCCGCGGCUAGACGGAAAGACCCCGUGAACCUUUACUAUAGCUUUGCACUGGACUUUGAAUUUGCUUGUGUAGGAUAGGUGGGAGGCUUUGAAGCGUGGACGCCAGUCUGCGUGGAGCCAACCUUGAAAUACCACCCUGGCAACUUUGAGGUUCUAACUCAGGUCCGUUAUCCGGAUCGAGGACAGUGUAUGGUGGGUAGUUUGACUGGGGCGGUCUCCUCCUAAAGAGUAACGGAGGAGUACGAAGGUGCGCUCAGACCGGUCGGAAAUCGGUCGUAGAGUAUAAAGGCAAAAGCGCGCUUGACUGCGAGACAGACACGUCGAGCAGGUACGAAAGUAGGUCUUAGUGAUCCGGUGGUUCUGUAUGGAAGGGCCAUCGCUCAACGGAUAAAAGGUACUCCGGGGAUAACAGGCUGAUACCGCCCAAGAGUUCAUAUCGACGGCGGUGUUUGGCACCUCGAUGUCGGCUCAUCACAUCCUGGGGCUGAAGCCGGUCCCAAGGGUAUGGCUGUUCGCCAUUUAAAGUGGUACGCGAGCUGGGUUUAGAACGUCGUGAGACAGUUCGGUCCCUAUCUGCCGUGGACGUUUGAGAUUUGAGAGGGGCUGCUCCUAGUACGAGAGGACCGGAGUGGACGAACCUCUGGUGUUCCGGUUGUCACGCCAGUGGCAUUGCCGGGUAGCUAUGUUCGGAAUAGAUAACCGCUGAAAGCAUCUAAGCGGGAAACUAGCCUCAAGAUGAGAUCUCACUGGAACCUUGAGUUCCCUGAAGGGCCGUCGAAGACUACGACGUUGAUAGGUUGGGUGUGUAAGCGCUGUGAGGCGUUGAGCUAACCAAUACUAAUUGCCCGUGAGGCUUGACCAUAU